rnacentral:rRNA from 1 species
UACAGAGGGUGCGAGCGUUAAUCGGAAUUACUGGGCGUAAAGGGUGCGUAGGCGGUUGUUUAAGUUAGAUGUGAAAUCCCCGGGCUUAACCUGGGAAUUGCAUUUAAGACUGGAUGACUAGAGUAGAGUAGAGGGAAGUGGAAUUUCCGGUGUAGCGGUGAAAUGCGUAGAUAUCGGAAGGAACACCGGUGGCGAAGGCGGCUACCUGGGAUGAUACUGACGCUGAGGCGCGAGAGCGUGGGGAGCAAACAGG